rnacentral:rRNA from 1 species
AGGGCUCGUAGGCGGCCUGCCAAGUCCCACGUGAAAGACCAGGGCUCAACCCUGGGAACGCGAGGGAAACUGGUAAGCUGGAAUCUUGGAGGGGGUACUGGAAUUCCUAGUGUAGGGGUGAAAUCUGUUGAUAUUAGGAAGAACACCGGAGGCGAAGGCGAGUACCUGGCCAAAGAUUGACGCUGAUGAGCGAAAGCGUAGGGAGCAAACAGGAUUAGAUACCCUGGUAGUCUACGCCGUAAACGAUGUGCACUUGGUGGCGGUCCCGUCCGGGAUCGCUGCCCGUAGCUAACGCGUUAAGUGCACCGCCUGGGGAGUACGCCGGCAACGGUUAAACUCAAAGGAAUUGACGGGGCCCGCACAAGCGGUGGAGCAUGUGGUUUAAUUCGAUGAUACGCGAGGAACCUUACCAGGGCUUGACAUAUACCUGACGUUCGUAGAGAUACGGAUUUCCUUUCGGGACGUGUAUACAGGUGUUGCAUGGCUUGUCGUCAGCUCGU